AGUCCCGGCUAGGGACACAGCUCUUAGACUUUGAGCUAGACAACCAGGAGGACAGGAGGACCUAGUAUCCUGCCUCCAUCAGCCCAUCAUUUAUGCAAAUGCUACUUAGUUGCCGUCUAGAUGCAGGAUGCUGUCUGCCCUGUUAAAUGCUGUGUGAACCCAGAUGGAAGCUGAGCAGACAUCACACUCGUGAGCAGCUCCCCUUCCUGUGAGCAUCUCCCCUUCCUAUGUUAUACGACCUCGUUCGCUGAAGUCAAAGAUGCAGAGGGGCCAAGGUGUGGGCUCCGGACCUCACACCAGUGUGGCAGAUUCAACAAGCCCAGAAUAAGCCUCUUCCUUUGCUCACAAUAAGAUUAAGCCAACUGCCUCUUCAUUCCUCAGUCACACUCCUCCUCUGACCCUGCUCCAGGAGGCUCAUCUUGUCAGACUUCACACUGAAUGAGCGCUGAGGAUGCUGUAGAGUAUGAGCUGUGUGCAGGAUUGCUAUCUUCUGGUCCUGUACUCCUCAAGCUCAAAGGCCAACGUCCUGGCAUUUGUGUGACGGCUUUUGCCCUACCCUGCAGAAUUUGCAAUAGGCAGUCUCUACAUGUACUCAGGGCCCAGUGGGCAUUCAACAUGUUCAUUGAAUGACAA
rnacentral:lncRNA from 1 species